rnacentral:tRNA from 1 species
CCCGCGGUGGCGGGCGCGGUGCUGCUGGCGAUCCUGCUGGCGGUGGGGUAGCGGGCGGCUGCGUCCCGCCCGCGGGCUGUGGCCCACCUGCGGGCC